rnacentral:rRNA from 1 species
CCUACGGGCGGCAGCAGUGGGGGAUAUUGCACAAUGGGGGAAACCCUGAUGCAGCGACGCCGCGUGUGGGAAGACGGUCCUCUGGAUUGUAAACCACUGUCCCCAGGGACGAAGAUGACGGUACCUGGGGAGGAAGCUCCGGCUAACUACGUGCCAGCAGCCGCGGUAAUACGUAGGGAGCGAGCGUUGUCCGGAAUUACUGGGUGUAAAGGGAGCGUAGGCGGGGAUGCAAGUUGGGUGUCAAAACUACCGGCUCAACUGGUAGUCGCACUAAAAACUGCAGCUCGUGAGUGAAGUAGAGGCAGGCGGAAUUGCUGGUGUAGCGGUGAAAUGCGGAGAUAUUAGGAGGAACACCAGUGGCGAAGGCGGCCGGCUGGGCUUUUACUGGCGCUGAGGCUCGAAAGUGUGGGGAGCAAACAGGAUUAGAUACCCCUGUAGUG